UACGUAGGGUGCGAGCGUUAAUCGGAAUUACUGGGCGUAAAGCGUGCGCAGGCGGUUUUGUAAGCCAGAUGUGAAAUCCCCGGGCUUAACCUGGGAAUGGCAUUUGGGACUGCAAGGCUGGAGUGUGGCAGAGGAGACUGGAAUUCCUGGUGUAGCAGUGAAAUGCGUAGAUAUCAGGAGGAAUACCGAUGGCGAAGGCAGGUCACUGGGCCGCAACUGACGCUGAGGAGCGAAAGCAUGGGGAGCGAACAGG
rnacentral:rRNA from 1 species